rnacentral:rRNA from 1 species
GACGAACGCUGGCGGCGUGCUUAACACAUGCAAGUCGAGCGGUAAGGCCCUUUCGGGGGUACACGAGCGGCGAACGGGUGAGUAACACGUGGGUGACCUGCCCUCAGCUCUGGGAUAAGCCUGGGAAACUGGGUCUAAUACCGGAUAUGACUCCAUGACGCAUGUUGUGGGGUGGAAAGCCUUGUGCGGCUGAGGAUGGGCCCGCGGCCUAUCAGCUUGUUGGUGGGGNGAUGGCCUACCAAGGCGACGACGGGUAGCCGGCCUGAGAGGGCGACCGGCCACACUGGGACUGAGACACGGCCCAGACUCCUACGGGAGGCAGCAGUUAGGAAUUUUGGCAAUGGGCGAAAGCCUGACCCAGCAACGCCGCGUGGGCGAUGAAGCC